GCAAGUCGAACGAGAACGGGUUAAAGUUUACUUUAACUGUCAGCUAAGUGGCGCACGGGUGAGUAAUAUAUAGUUAACCUGCCCCAAAGAAGAGAAUAAUUGAUGGAAACGUCUUGUAACUCUCUAUAUGCCUUUAUUACAUAAGUAAGCAAGGGAAACAUUUAUGGCUUUGGGAUGGGACUGUACAGUAUCAGAUAGUUGGUGAGGUAAUGGCUCACCAAGUCAAUGACGCUUAACUGGUUUGAGAGGAUGAUC
rnacentral:rRNA from 1 species